CAGACACGGCUGAGCCAUACAUUUAAGGAAUCUUUUAAAGCCAAGGACUCCGAGCCUCCCAGCCAGGCUCUGGCCCUCCUGAUGUUGCUGACCUCCUGAGCAGGUAGAGAUAAAGAGUGCUGGGUAAUACAUCAGCCUGAUGGUUUCUUCAGACAGGCUGUCUUCAGGGCUCUAGAAGCCCAUACAGAAUAGAGCAGUUAGGAAGCAAGAUGAAGGCCGCAUGCACAAAGCCCUGGGUUUGAUCCCCAGACCCCCAUGAAUCAGACAUGGUGGUAAACACCUGCAAUCCUAGCAAUCAGGAGGUGAAAACAGGAGGAUUAAAGUGUCCAAGGUCAUCCUUGGCUACAUAAUACAUUCAAGACCAGACACAGCAACACAAGACCCUGCCUCCAGAAAAAAAGCAAUCUAACCCUGGCCAGGCCCCAUCAAGAUGCAAGGGUUGUGAGAGAAAGAUGGGUGGUGGCCACGGACAGAGUCUACGGACCAGGAAAUCGUGAGAAACACCGUGGACUUCAUGGGGUCUCCCGGUGGAGAAUUCUGAAGAUUGGUGAGUGGCUGGGGACAUGUCUUGGUGAGCUUUCAUGGCCUGGAAGCUAUUGACAGAGCAUCCACUCCACAGCUGAGCUGUUUCUCUGGAAACAGCAGAAGCCGGGUCUGUGGGUUUGUGAUGGUACCCUCAGGGCUGGGGUAUCCCAUCAAGCCUCCUCCAGACUAAAAUGAAGAACCAGAGAGAUAUACCCCGAGUUCCCUUUAUCCGCAGAGCCUGGCUCCCCCGAUGUGAGCCUUAGGUUUCCAUAUUAGAUCUUAGUGUGUGAGAGAACUUCACAGCCAGGAAAAUCUACUCAUCACUAGAGAUCAAGCCAUGUCCUGUCUUCCCAAGGUGCACCUUUCACUCCCAGACCACAGCCUCCCCAGUUCAUCCCAGCCAAGGAUGGAAGGGUCCCUCCCUACAUCGACAACAAGGUAAGACUUCUGCUGAGAGGCCGCUGCAUGCAGCGAUCAGAAAUCACAGAGACUCCUGCUGGCAAAGCAAAGAAACAGUGGCUAAGUUUUUCUAGAAGGAGGCAAGAAACAGCACACUAGAGUCAAAGGCCCUUUCACAGGUCUCUCUGGCAUCUCUACUGAGGAUGGGCCACUGGAAGGUCACCUGGCUGACCUCUCUCUGGAAGUUCCCGACAGCAGGAAAACACUGCAGCCUAGAAUCGUCACCGGGGCGAUUUGGGUCAUCCACCCCAAUGAUGUUUGUCAGGGGUAAAUAUUUAGUUGUUCUCUCUGCAGCCUGGAGGGAGGAGACUUUCAAUUGAAUGAAUGGUGAAUUGAAAGGUCCUUAACAUCUCUUCUUGGUCCCCUCUAGCUGUCCUGGAACUAGGAAGAGGGGUGGUUAGACAUGAUGUACCCAAGCCACUAAACUGUGCAUCUUUAAAUGGUUCAUUCGUGUUGUGUGAAUUUCACUCCUUUAUUAAAUAAUUCAUUUUUUAAUUUUAGGCUUACUGAUGUUUUGCCUGCAUGUACAUCUCUGUGAGGGUGUUAGAUCCUGGAGUUGCAGACAGUUGUGACCGGCCAUAUGGGUGCUGGGAAUUGAACCCAGGUCCUCUAGAAGAGCAGUCAAUGCUCUUAACCACUGUCCAUCUCUCCAGCUCAGAAUUUCAUCCCUAAAAACAAAAAAAUGGGGGAGGGCAGUGGUGGAACACACCUUCGAUCCCAGCACUCAGGAAGCAGAGGCAAGCAGAUCUCUGUGAGUUUUGAGGACAGCCUGGUCUACAGGGAGAGUUCCAGGACAGCCAGGGCUACAAAGUGAAAUCCUGUCUUGGGGGGUGGGGGGGGGCAAUAACAAGAAAACAAAGAUCCGGCCUUGUAGUCCAGUCCCUUUCUAGAAAACGUUGGGAAAAGUUGGGGCAGCGUAACAACAGGGAUCCAAAGCCUACUUUGGGGUACAGGAAGGUCUCCAAUGUCUGCCCAUCUCCACUGAGGACGCCCCUCAGUGUUCCUCCACAUGGCCUGGGACACCAUGAGAUUGUGGUGUCCAGCUGGCAGACUCUGACCUACCAGGGUUAUGCCACAGCUUUCCCACAGAGUGUGGUGGCUCCUUUGUUCCGUGCCUGUGGAAGUCAGAGAACAGCUGGCAGGCAUCAGCUCCCUUUCCACCAUGUGGAGUCAGCCUGACCACAAAUGCUGCUCCUCAUUUAAGCCACCAGGCCUGCUUGCAUGCAUUCUAGAACAAAGAAAUGAAAACGCUGAUCUAAGAGGAAAACACCUCACCUGGGGCUCAGGAAUGAGGUGUCAAUUUUGCUACAAGAGUGGACUCAGAAGACGCACAAGAGAUGUGCAAACAUUCAGCCGUUAGAGCCUUCUGAGGACAAGCUCUCUCCACCGCUGGAAUUCCAGACCCAUGGAAUGGAGCCCACGGCUUCUCUCUCACCUGCGUAGGACAGCCGGUCACCAUGUUUGC
rnacentral:lncRNA from 1 species